GUGCUCACUUCGGCAGCACAUAUACUAAAGUUGGAAUGAUACAGAGGAGAUUAGCAUGGACCCUGUGCAAGAAUGACACACAAAUUUGUGAAGCGUUCCAUAUUUUC
rnacentral:snRNA from 1 species